GCCCUGGUGGCACAGUGGUUAAGCUCUCGGUUGCUAACUGAAAUGUUGGUGGUUCACACCCACCCAGCGGCU
rnacentral:tRNA from 1 species